rnacentral:rRNA from 1 species
GGCGUACGGGUGAGUAAUGCAUCGGAACGUGCCCAGUAGUGGGGGAUAGCUCGGUGAAAGCCGGAUUAAUACCGCAUACGCACUACGGUGGAAAGCGGGGGACCGAAAGGCCUCGCGCUAUUGGAGCGGCCGAUGUCGGAUUAGCUUGUUGGUGGGGUAAAGGCCUACCAAGGCGACGAUCCGUAGCUGGUCUGAGAGGACGACCAGCCACACUGGGACUGAGACACGGCCCAGACUCCUACGGGAGGCAGCAGUGGGGAAUUUUGGACAAUGGGCGAAAGCCUGAUCCAGCAAUGCCGCGUGUGUGAAGAAGGCCUUCGGGUUGUAAAGCACUUUUGGCGGGAACGAAACAGCGCUUGCUAAUACCGAGCGCGAAUGACGGUACCCGCAGAAUAAGCACCGGCUAACUACGUGCCAGCAGCCGCGGUAAGACGUAGGGUGCAAGCGUUAAUCGGAAUUACUGGGCGUAAAGCGUGCGCAGGCGGUUUUGUAAGACAGAUGUGAAAUCCCCGGGCUCAACCUGGGAACUGCAUUUGUGACUGCAAGGCUAGAGUGCGUCAGAGGGAGGUGGAAUUCC